UUUUGAGAAAAAAAAAAACAACAACAAGGACUGGCAGCAGCGACCCGCCGUAGCAGAAAUUUAUAAAUGAAAAAAAUGUUACUGUAAUGAGGAUCUGUUGUACAUGAUCGACCUCUAUUGGUGGUGCAUCGACUUCGGGAACGUUCCACCUCUCUCGGGCCCGCCUGUAGAUUUCCCUGACAUCACGGACAUUUUGGCUUCACCACAUUUUCCAUUCCGCAUCCGUAACAAAAUAGGGCGCCCCGGUAGCUGAGUUGGUAGCGUGCUUGGAUUACCAGUGCAGCGGUCGUGAGUUAGAUUCCCGCCAGAAGCCUUGAUCUGUCGCUACUGUGACAAAAAAAAAUCAAAUAUAAACCAGCUCUGGGUGGAGAUGGGCGGCCCACACGACCAUGGUAUCCGAUGUCCAACCUAUUUGGAUACCCCAGCAUCGUCCCACUCAUCCCCCUCUACAGCAUGGUGCACUACCCAUUUCCUACCUUAACAACUACUCCUCCAUUGUGGAAUGAGAACUAGCCGAAGAUGAAUUUCAUUUCAACGUUAUAAUGACAUGCAGUAGGGGCUCCUUUUCGCCCAAAAGCUAAAACUGCUACCCCCCUGGACCUAGGUCGAGCUCACCCUAACAGCUGAAGAAAACGCCUAUUUGCUCUCGCGUCGUUUACAAAAAACUAAAGGAAAGCAAACUGUCUUCAAGUCCUGUCCGCCCGUAGUAGUCUUCGUGUGUAUCCUGUAAAUGUACAUAAGAAGAAAGGGGUACUUGGUGCACUGUCGGCUGACCAGUGGCUGUGAUGUCAUCCAAAAGUCGGAUGUUCCCACUAUGGGCAGCGGAGGUGGACAAGCUUAUAUUUUGUCGUUUGGUUUUUGUGUUAUUUCAGUUUUUGGUUGUCUUCAUAGAUCUAAUAUUGUUGUCAUAGAUUUAAUUUUAGAUUUAAUAUUGUAGAUCAUAGAUUUUGUUUUAUUAGUAACCACUGGCUUCAACAAUUUUUCCUUUUUGGUUUAUUUUGUUUUAGCAACUUUUCUUCUCCUUCAGGAGAAUUUGCAGUUUUUUUACUA
rnacentral:sRNA from 1 species